CUUCAGGAUGAUAGUGCAGAGCAGAAGCCUGGCCCAAACCACAAGCCCUGGAACCGGUUCAAACCAAACACAGACAGGAAACCACCCACCCAGGAACAGAGACUUUAGGUGCUUCAAGCAAGAGGGGAGUGUAACCAAUGACUGCCACUUCACUCUCCUUCAUAUGCUUAGCCGAACUUAGGAAAGGAACUGCAGGGAUAGAAAUGAAGAGGAGCCUGAGGAAAUGAAGGUCCAAGGACAGGCCCAAAGUUGGAUCCAGCUUAAAGGAAGGCCCAAAGGCCUGACACUAUUACUGACGCUAUGGAGCGUCCACAAAAAGGGACCCUGUCAUGACCACACUCCAGAAGACCCAACAAGAAGCUGAAAGAGACCGUGCAUUCUAUUGGAUUGUUUAGACUGAAUAUGGAUUUGCUAUCAUGUUCUUCAAUGGCCUCUCACAAUUGCAACUGUUGGAUUCUUGGUGUCCUGGAAGCACAACAUCUACAGUGACAUUUAUUAAGACUUGAUGCUCCUAAGAAGUCAAGGUCUCCACUGCGAAGGAAUUGUUCUUACAGUGACACGUUUUUCUUCCACAAGACUGAUCCUUUUUGUGUAAUACUACUAAGAAAGCAUUCCACUGCACAGUGGCUUGUCUAGGAAGAUUCAAAAGUUUUGAUUUUGUCCAAACAAUGUAUGUUUUAUAUUUAAGAAAUAAAAUUUCUGGAAUUCAGGAUGCUGUAUAGUGUGACAAAGCCCUUUAACCCCAAUGCAUGAAAGACUAAGUUGAGAAAAGUAAACGUUCAAAGCCA